GGGUGGUAGCUCAGUUGGUUAGAGCGCCUGCCUGUCACGCAGGAGGUCGCGGGUUCGAGCCCCGUCCAUC
rnacentral:tRNA from 1 species